rnacentral:lncRNA from 1 species
GCUCAUAGGUGACAAUGACUUGCCUUAUCUCAGAUGAGAAUUUGGACUUUGGACUUUGGACUUUUGAGUUAAUAUUGGAGUGAGUUAAGACUUUAAGGGACUAUUGGUUGUCCAUACUAACUGCUCCCUUUUUCUUCACACCAACCCUGUCAUGUAAAUCAACCCUGAAAAAUUAAUCUGAUCACCACUUCACCGAAUAUAUUAUGAUUAUAAAUGAAUUCCAG